rnacentral:sRNA from 1 species
AGGUCCGAACGCUUCGGGGCGGGGGUGCGGUCUUGCAGUAGGAAGCUGAGCGUCUUGCAAGCUUCCUGUCGGGCACCAGCUACUCGGCCCCGCACCCUACCUGGUGCAUUCCCUGGACACCUCCGGGGUCCCUACCUUGAGGUCCCCGGAGCCCCCUUCCUGCACCAGCCAUGCCUUUAAACCGCACUUUGUCCAUGUCCUCACUGCCAGGACUGGAGGACUGGGAGGAUGAAUUCGACCUGGAGAACGCAGUGCUCUUCGAAGUGGCCUGGGAGGUGGCUAACAAGGGUCCCAGAACUAUGGACCUCGGCCGGGGCCUGCCCUUACACGCUUGGGCCCACAGUGGGUGGCAUCUACACGGUGCUGCAGACGAAGGCGAAGGUGACGGGGGACGAAUGGGGCGACAACUACUUCCUGGUGGGGCCGUACACGGAGCAGGGCGUGAGGACCCAGGUGGAACUGCUGGAGGCCCCCACCCCGGCCCUGAAGAGGACACUGGAUUCCAUGAACAGCAAGGGCUGCAAGGUGUAUUUCGGGCGCUGGCUGAUCGAGGGAGGCCCUCUGGUGGUGCUCCUGGACGUGGGUGCCUCAGCUUGGGCCCUGGAGCGCUGGAAGGGAGAGCUCUGGGAUACCUGCAACAUCGGGGUGCCGUGGUACGACCGCGAGGCCAACGACGCUGUCCUCUUUGGCUUUCUGACCACCUGGUUCCUGGGUGAG